rnacentral:rRNA from 1 species
GACGAACGCUGGCGGCGCGCUUAACACAUGCAAGUCGAGCGAAGCGGCGGACGGGUGAGUAACACGUGAGUAACCUGCCUUUGACAUUGGGAUAGCCUCGGGAAACUGGGAAUAAUACCAAAUGGACAAAGAUGGACUCGCGGCUGAUUAGCACGUUGGUGAGGUAACGGCCCACCAAGGCGACGAUCAGUAGCCGGCCUGAGAGUGUGACCCGGCACCUUGGAACUGUGACACAGUCCGAACUCUACGGGAGGCAGCAGUGGGGAAUAUUGCCCUGUGGGUGAUACCCUGAUGCAUCUACGCUGCGUGAGCGAAGAAGGCCUUCGGGUCGUAAAGCUCUUUAAUGAGGGAAGCGUUACCUCAAGAAAAAGCCCCGGCUAACUACGUGCCAGCAGCCGCGGUAAUUC